AGUAAAGUCAGCUAAAUAAGCUCUCGGGCCCAUACCCCGAAAAUGCAGGUUUAAAUCCUCCCUAUACUA